CAGAUAAGGUUGGCAUUUAAUCAGCAGACUUGAGAAAAGUCACGUACCUUCCAUAAUGUGGGUGAGCUUCCUCCAGGCAGUUGAGGGCCUUAAGAGAAAAGGGUGAUGUCUACCAGAGGAAGAGGGAAAUCUGCCUUCAACCUGAGUUCACAUUCAAGUUGCAAGAUCAGCUCUUCCCUGGGUCUCCAGCCUGCUCAGCAGAUUUUGAUUUUGCUAGCCCCUACAAUCAUGCAAAUGAAUGUGAACAUUCACAUUUUCUUUCCCCUGACGUAGAGAAAUCUUCAUGAGGAUGGAGAACAUAGGAGUUAAGCCACUUUCAGAGGUGGGAAUGGAAAUUUUCAGAUUUGAUGAUGUUCCAGGUAGAGAAAUAACACCAUUGAUUCAAGAAAGAAAAAUGGGCCUAAAAGACGGAGUUUCACUCUUGUUGCCCAGGCUGGAGUGCAGUGGCCUGAUCUCGGCUCACAGCAACCUCCACCUCCCGGAUUCAAGCCAUUCUUCUGCCUCAGCCUCCGGAGUAGCUAGGAUUACAGGCAUAUGCCACCACGCCUGGCUAAUUUUGUAUUUUUAGUAGAGACGGGGUUUCUCCAUGUUGGUCAGGCUGGUCUCGAACUCCGGACCUCAGGUGAUCCGCCCGCCUCGGCCUCCCAGAGUGCUGGGAUUACAGGCGUGAGCCACUGCGCCUGGCCAGACUAUGUUUUUAAAAGCCAUCCCAUGUGGCUAGAUGCAAGCGUGAUAGUAAAAAUACUUAAUAUUUUUAAUAUGCUAUGGAUAUUGAUUAGUGAAAUCAGACAUUGGCAUAAAUAACUGCUGUAAUUAUACCUACGCAAAUCAGCUUAACAUUAGCUCAGGAUACAUGUACACCUAAUGAAUUGUUUCUAGCCCUUACAUAGCAUUUCACCAUAUUCUGUAGUAUUCCAUGCAUCAUAGCUGUGGCUACUUGUAUUGUCUUCUAAUCUCUUCUUCCAUAAACAAUACAGCGGUGAACAUUGUUGUGAAUGUCUUUUUGUGGAUCUAUGUGAUAAAUCCUCUGGUUUAUGUUCCCUAGCAUAAAAUUAAUGCAUCAUGGGUUACAUGCAUUUUCAUUUCAGUAAGUACUGUCAAAUCAUCACCUAGAAGUGUUAUCCAUAUACACAACAACAGUGUAUGAGAUCUCGAUAUUCCUCUAAACUUUCCUAAUACUUACCUCACUGCCUACUUUUUACAUAAUUUAUGAGUGGAAAAAGAUAUCAUUGUUUUACAUACAAUCAAAUUUGAGUUAAUUUGAUAAUUUCCUAAGAAGUUGCUUAAUAUUUUGGAUGUAUCUUGAGGAGGAAGAUUGAUCUGCAAUCUUCCUUUGCGUCAAGACUUUGGUUUUGAAAUCAAGGUUAUUCUAGGAAUACAGCUAAUCAGGGAGGUGAAAGUGCUCUAUGUCAAAAAUUACAAAACACUGCUCAAAGUAAUCAGAGAUGACACAAGCAAAUGGAAAAACAUUCCAUUCUCAUGGAUAGGAAGAUUCAAUGUUGUUUAAAUGGCCAUACUGUUCAGAGAAAUUUACGGAUUCAAUGCUAUUCCUAUUAAACUACCAAUGAUACUCUUCACAAAAUUAGAAAAAAACUAUUAAAAACUUCAUAUGGAACCAAGGCAAUUCUAAACAAAAAGAACAAAGCCAGAGGCAUUAUGCCUGACUUCAAACUAUGCUACAAGACUACAGUGACCAAAACAGCAUGGUACUGGUAUAAAAACAGACUCAUAGACCAAUGAAACAGAAUAGAGAGCCCAGAAAUGAGCCAUACACCUAUAACCAUCUAUCUUCAACAAGUAGACAAAAACAAGUAAUGGGGAAAGGACUGCCUAUUCAAUGAAUGGUUCUGGGAUAACUGGCCACCCACAUGCAGAUUGAAACUAGACACCUUCCUUACACCAUAUACAAAAACCAACUCAAGAUAGAUUAAAUACUUAAAUGUAAACCUCAAAGUAUAAAAGCCCUGGAAAGUAACCUAAGAAAUACCAUUCUGGACAUCUGAUGUGGCAAAGAUUUCAUGAUGAAGAUGCCAUAGCAACUGCAACAAAAACAAAAAUUGACAAAUGGGACCUAGUUAAACCGAAGAGCUUCUGCACAGCAAAAGAAACUAUCAACAGAAUAAACAGACAACCUAUAGAAUGGGAGUAAAUACUUGCAAACUAAUCAACGGAUAAAGGUCUAACACCCAUAAUCUAUAAGAAACUUAAACUAAUCAACAAGCAAAACAAACAAAAAACAAACAAAAAACCCAUUAAAAAGUGGACAAAGGACAUGCACAGAUACUUCUCAAAAGAAGACAUACAUGUAGCCAACAAGCAUAUGAAAAAUGCUCAACAUCACUAAUCAUUAUAGAAAUGCAAAUCAAAACUACAGUGAGAUACCAUCUCACAACAGUCAGAAUGGCUACUACAUAAAAGUCAAAAAGUAUCAGAUGCUGGCAAGGCUGCAGAGAACAGGGAACACUUAAAAACUACUGGUGGAAAUGUAAAUUAGUUCAGCCACUGCGGAAGCAAUUUGGCGAUUUCUCAAAAAACUCAAAGCAGAAUUACCAUUCAACCCAUCAAUCUCAUUAUUGGGUAUAUACCCAAAGGAAUAUAAAUUAUUCUAUCAUAAAGACACAUCUAUGUUUAUGUUCAUUGUAGCACUAUUCACAAUAUCAAAGACAUCAGAUCAAUCUAAAUGCCCACCAGUGGUAGACUGGAUUAGGAGAAUGUGGUACAUAUACUUCAUGGAAUGAUACAUAGCCAUAAAAGGAAUGAGAUCUUUCUUGUCCUUUGUAACAACAUAAAUGGAGCUGGAGGUCAUUAUCCUAAGUGAACUAAGACAAGAACAGAAAACCAAAUAGUGCAUGUUUCCACUUAUAAAUGGGAAGUAAACAUUGAGUAUAUAUAGACACAAAGAAGGGAGCAAUAGACAAUGGGGUCUAAUUGAGGGUGGAGGGAGAGAGGAGAGUGAGGAUUUAAAAAAACUACCUAUCCGGUACUAUGCUUAUUACCUGAGUGGUGAAAGAAUCUGUACACAAAACCCCUGUGACAUGCAAUUUACCUAUAUAACAAUCCUGCACUUAUACCUCUGAACCUAAAAUAGAGGUUGAAAAGUAAAAUCAAGGCUAUUAUGACCAUUGCUAUCCUCUUUUUCUAUAAUCUAGUUUAGUUUACAUUAGGUUGGCAUUAUUUCUCCCUUGAGUGAUUGAGAAUAUAGCCCAUUGAAGCCCUUUAGGCCUGAUAUUACCUUAUGAGAUGUUUUAAAUUAAAGAUUCACUUUUUGUAAUAGAUAUAGAAUUAUUUAAGUGUUGUAUUUCCUCUUUUAUUACUUUCAAGUCAUGUCUAUUUCUUUAUAUUUUCAAAUGCACUGGUAUAAGGUUACCUAGAAUGAUUUCUUAUUACAUUUAUGUUCUGCAGAAUAUAUUGUCAUAUAUCUAUUACUAGCAAUAGUGGUAAUUUAUUUGUUUUUUUCUAUUCCUUUGAUAGUACAAAGUUUGUUCAUUUUAUUAGUGUUUCAAAAGAAUAAACUUUUAGCUUUAAUACCUUUCUACUGUAUUUUUAUUUUGAAGAUAAAAUAAUAAUGUUUUAUGAAAUAAAUAAAUGUUGUUCUCUGCCCUCA